AACGAACGCUGGCGGCAUGCCUAACACAUGCAAGUCGAACGAAACCUUCGGGUCUUGUGGCGCACGGGUUCGUAAGCCGUGGGAACCUGCACUUGGGUUCGGAAUACCUUCCCGAAAGGGGUGCUAAUACCGGAUAGGGUCUUCGGACCAAUGAUUUAUUGCCUUUGGAUGGGCCAGAGUUGGAUUCGCUGGUUGGUAGGGUAAAAGCAUGCCAAGGCGCGGAUGCUCAGCUGGUUUGGGAGGAUGAUUACCCACGCUGGGACUGAGACGCGGCCCAGACUCCUACGGGAGGGAGCAGAGGGGAAUAUUGGACAAUGGACGAAGGGCUGAUGAAGUAAGGCCGGGUGAGUGAUGAUGGCCGUGGGGUUGAAAAGCUCUUUUAACCGGGAUGAUAGUGACGGUACCGGGAGAAUAAGCACCGGCUAACUACGUG
rnacentral:rRNA from 1 species